CCCCUGGAAAUGGCUAUUCAUGUACUAGUAAAAAAAAAAAAACAAACUUGUGAUUCACUGGCAUUCAAGAGUUUUAGUGAUGCCUUAUGCAAUGUUUUUUUGUUGUUUAUUCCCAGGGUUGAAUGUAUAUUCAUGACCUGCUAGCACUGAGAUCAUCUACAUGUUGGCUGGAUAAGAAGAAAAGGAAGCAUUCAGAGCUCUUUGUUGGUCAGGCUUUCCUUCAGAUAUCACUUGUAAAGCUUCAACGACCAAGAAGGCUGAGGAGAGCAUGUCCUCAGAAUGGGAAAUACAGAAGAAAAACAGGAGAAAGGACAAAGUUGUGCUGGAAACUAGUUCUUCAAGAUGUCAUGAUGGCACUGACAAGAGAAAAAAAAAUGAAGUCAUGAAGAAACAAGAAUCAUUCUGGACAACAGCCAUGCUAUACUUGUUCAGCCCUAGGCCUGACCCCAGGAAGGACUGAUAUAACCUGAGGAACCCUCACAGACAGGGAUAUAAGACCCAGGCACCUGACAAGUGAUGCUUCUCCAGGAUGCUCUCCCAGCAAACAGUUUUCAGUUUCCUCUGAAACAAAUUCUAAUUAAAUUGUUUUCCAAACAUUUUUUGCUGGAGUUCCUUUAAUUCCUCUGUGAAUCCAUUUAUAAUUUUGAACCCUACAACCUCCUGUGACAAUGAAUUCUCUAGUUUAAUUAUGUGUUGGGCAGAAAAACUAUUUCCUUCACUUAAAUGCUUCCCUGUCAUGCAACAUGCCCUCAGAUGUGGGAAAUGUGCUGCACCCUCCAGAGUCAGCCAAAAGUAAAGGUUUUAAUGUGAGGUCCAAAAGUGCAGAAGCUGAAAGUGCUGAGAGGUUCAUCUCCAAGACUGGGAGAAUCAAUUGCUGCCUGGGGCUGUGCACUAGAGAGAGGUGGAGGGUGGAAAGGGACAGAAAACAUGGUUUUGGAGGAAACAUGCUUACACCUGAAAA
rnacentral:lncRNA from 13 species